rnacentral:sRNA from 1 species
UAACAUAAAUCAAAUAUUGAAGUUGCU